UACAGAGGGUGCGAGCGUUGUUCGGAAUUAUUGGGCGUAAAGCGCUUGUAGGCGGCACGUCAAGUCGCGUGUGAAAUCCCCAGGCUUAACCUGGGAAGUGCGCCCGAAACUGCUAUGCUUGAGUGCCGGAGAGGGUGGCGGAAUUCCCCCAAGUAGAGGUGAAAUUCGUAGAUAUGGGGAGGAACACCGGGUGGCGAAGGCGGCCACCUGGACGGCGACUGGACGCUGAGACGCGAAAGCGUGGGGAGCAAACAGG
rnacentral:rRNA from 1 species